rnacentral:rRNA from 1 species
CUCAGAACGAACGCUGGCGGCAGGCUUAACACAUGCAAGUCGAGCGAUCGCAGCGAUGCGGGAGCGGCGGACGGGUGAGUAACGCGUGGGAACAUGCCCUUUGGUUCGGAACAACUCGGGGAAACUCGAGCUAAUACCGGAUACGCCCUUUUUGGGGAAAGAUUUAUCGCCGAAGGAUUGGCCCGCGUCUGAUUAGCUUGUUGGCGGGGUAAUGGCCCACCAAGGCGACGAUCAGUAGCUGGUCUGAGAGGAUGAUCAGCCACAUUGGGACUGAGACACGGCCCAAACUCCUACGGGAGGCAGCAGUGGGGAAUAUUGGACAAUGGGCGCAAGCCUGAUCCAGCCAUGCCGCGUGAGUGAUGACGGCCUUAGGGUUGUAAAGCUCUUUUGCCUGGGAAGAUAAUGACGGUACCAGGAGAAUAAGCCCCGGCUAACUUCGUGCCAGCAGCCGCGGUAAUACGAAGGGGGCUAGCGUUGUUCGGAUUUACUGGGCGUAAAGCGCACGUAGGCGGAUCUUUAGGUCAGGGGUGAAAUGCCGCGGCUCAACCGCGGAACUGCCUUUGAUACUGGGGAUCUUGAGUCCGGGAGAGGUGAGCGGAACUGCGAGUGUAGAGGUGAAAUUCGUAGAUAUUCGCAAGAACACCAGUGGCGAAGGCGGCUCACUGGCCCGGCACUGACGCUGAGGUGCGAAAGCGUGGGGAGCAAACAGGAUUAGAUACCCUGGUAGUCCACGCCGUAGACGAUGGAUGCUAGCCGUUAGGCGGCUUGCCGCUUAGUGGCGCAGUUAACGCUUUAAGCAUCCCGCCUGGGGAGUACGGUCGCAAGAUUAAA